rnacentral:tRNA from 1 species
GUUUUAAUAGUUUAACAAAAACAUUGGUCUUGUAUACCAAAAAUAAGAUCCUAUCUUUUAAAACU